CCUACGGGUGGCAGCAGUCGAGAAUCAUUCACAAUGGGGGAAACCCUGAUGGUGCGACGCCGCGUGGGGGAAUGAAGGUCUUCGGAUUGUAAACCCCUGUCAUGUGGGAGCAAAUUAAAAAGAUAGUACCACAAGAGGAAGAGACGGCUAACUCUGUGCCAGCAGCCGCGGUAAUACAGAGGUCUCAAGCGUUGUUCGGAAUCACUUGGCGUAAAGCGUGCGUAGGCUGUUUCGUAAGUCGUGUGUGAAAGGUGCGGGCUCAACCCGCGGACGGCACAUGAUACUGCGAGACUAGAGUAAUGGAGGGGGAACCGGAAUUCUCGGUGUAGCAGUGAAAUGCGUAGAUAUCGAGAGGAACACUCGUGGCGAAGGCGGGUUCCUGGACAUUAACUGACGCUGAGGCACGAAGGCCAGGGGAGCGAAAGGGAUUAGAUACCCCGGUAGUC
rnacentral:rRNA from 1 species